rnacentral:rRNA from 1 species
UACGUAGGUGGCAAGCGUUGUCCGGAAUUAUUGGGCGUAAAGCGCGCGCAGGCGGUCCUUUAAGUCUGAUGUGAAAGCCCACGGCUCAACCGUGGAGGGUCAUUGGAAACUGGGGGACUUGAGUGCAGGAGAGAAGAGUGGAAUUCCACGUGUAGCGGUGAAAUGCGUAGAGAUGUGGAGGAACACCAGUGGCGAAGGCGGCAUCCUGGACCGACAUUGACGCUGAGGAGCGAAAGCUAGGGGAGCAAACGGG